rnacentral:rRNA from 1 species
GACGAACGCUGGCGGCGUGCCUAAUACAUGCAAGUAGAACGCUGAAGGAGGAGCUUGCUUCUCUGGAUGAGUUGCGAACGGGUGAGUAACGCGUAGGUAACCUGCCUGGUAGCGGGGGAUAACUAUUGGAAACGAUAGCUAAUACCGCAUAAUAGUAGAUGUCGCAUGACAUUUGCUUAAAAGGUGCAAUUGCAUCACUACCAGAUGGACCUGCGUUGUAUUAGCUAGUUGGUGAGGUAACGGCUCACCAAGGCAACGAUACAUAGCCGACCUGAGAGGGUGAUCGGCCACACUGGGAAUGAGACACGGCCCAGACUCCUACGGGAGGCAGCAGUAGGGAAUCUUCGGCAAUGGACGGAAGUCUGACCGAGCAACGCCGCGUGAGUGAAGAAGGUUUUCGGAUCGUAAAGCUCUGUUGUAAGAGAAGAACGAGUGUGAGAGUGGAAAGUUCACACUGUGACGGUAUCUUACCAGAAAGGGACGGCUAACUACGUG